rnacentral:rRNA from 1 species
GUAGGGGGCAAGCGUUGUCCGGAUUUAUUGGGCGUAAAGAGCGUGUAGGCGGCCAGGUAGGUCCGUUGUGAAAACUCGAGGCUCAACCUCGAGACGUCGGCGGAAACCCCUUGGCUAGAGUCCGGAAGAGGAGAGUGGAAUUCCUGGUGUAGCGGUGAAAUGCGCAGAUAUCAGGAAGAACACCCGUGGCGAAGGCGGCUCUCUGGGACGGUACUGACGCUGAGACGCGAAAGCGUGGGGAGCAAACAGGAUUAGAUACCCUGGUAGUCCACGCCGUAAACGAUGGGUGCUAGGUGUGGGGAGUGUCGACUCUCUCUGUGCCGAAGCUAACGCAUUAAGCACCCCGCCUGGGGAGUACGGCCGCAAGGCUA